CUGACUGCAUAUUCACCCUUCCUCAACCCAAUAGAGGAGUUUCUCUCUGCCUGGAGGUGGAAAGUGUUUGGUCUCCACCCACAUGACCAAAUGUGUCUUUUGGAAGCCAUGCGUGCCGGAUGUGAGGACACGAGUCCAGAGGACUCCCAGGGAUGGAUAAGGCACUCCAGAAGGUUCUUCCCCAGGUGCAUGGCAAGAGAAAACAUUAGAUGUGAUGUUGAAGAAAACCUGUGGCCUGAUGCUAGAGAGAGGCAGGAUUAGCCCCUCAAUUAUUUGUUUGAAUUACAGUAUGUACUUUUAGUUUCUACCUUUUUUUGUCUCAUUACUGUAAUUCCGUAAAUUACUACAGACUAUUGAAGCAAACUGCUAAUUUUCAUUUACCUUAAAGAAUUGUUCUAAAAAAUGUCAUAAAUCAUGUGAAAGAAUGUCACUCUUUUCUUUGAAGGAAAUAUUACUUUGUAUGAAGUCACUGAAAUUGUUCAAACUAUAAAGAUGAAAAGUUAGUAUUUUCUGUAUUGGUGUUUGACGCUAGUGUUUUUACUCUCAGUGUGUUCUGAGUGACAGUGUGUGUUAUCUCAGUGAGGGUUGUGCAUAGUGUUUGGCUGCACUGAGCAUGUUUUGAGUUGUGUUGCUUGGAAUGAGUUUUGCAGGUGAUGUGAACUGUUUAGCUCAGGUGACUGUUGGUAGUGCAGACUGUAGUUAGAGUUUUGCAGGUGAUGUGAACUGUUUAGCUCAGGUGACUGUUGGUAGUGCAGACUGUAGUUAGAGUUUUGCACAUGUGACUCCAGUUGUGCCCACUGUCGUUUAGCAAUCGAAAAAAAACUGUAAAUGCAUAAAUAAUUACAAAGCCAAAGUUGAUAUUCUUUUGCUCAAUUAAACAGCUUUAUAUGAGUUCCUGAACAGUUCUCACUUACUGCAUCAACAACAGGUGGCAACGA